rnacentral:lncRNA from 8 species
AUGAUUGGGGAGCUUGUCAGAGUCGGUAAAGAUGGAAAGAUGUGGAGGAGGCAGGAACUGUCAACUGCCCAAUACCACCAGAGGAAUUGGAAGAUAGUGCUGUGGGUAGUGGCCUUUCUGCUAACCCUGGUAGAGGGGGUGUUCUCUGAGGAGGACCUCAAGGAGGCCCACACUGAGCGUCUCCGAGCCCAGGAGAGGACCACCACUGCUGGGGCCUGGCUCCCAGACCACUACCCAGAGAUCCACGAGCUGGGAGAGAACAGGGAUGGCCAUGGCCAGGCCUCCUGGCCCAGUCUGUUUGGUUAG